rnacentral:rRNA from 1 species
UGGUCAAGUUAUUAAGGGUGCAGGGCGGAUGCCUUGGCACUAGGAGCCGAUGAAGGACGUGAUAAGCUGCGAUAAGCUUCGGGGAGUUGCACGUAAACUUUGAUCCGAAGAUUUCCGAAUGAGGAAACUCACUUAGAGUAAUGUCUAAGUAUCAUUAAGUGAAUACAUAGCUUAAUGAGGGGAACUCAGGGAACUGAAACAUCUAAGUACCUGAAGGAAGAGAAAGAAAUUCGAUUCCGUAAGUAGUGGCGAGCGAACGCGGAUUAGCCCAAACCAAUAAAGUUUUCUUUAUUGGGGUUGCGGACAUAUCAUAACGAAGAGGUAUCGUAAUUGAAGAGGUUUGGAAAGACCCACCACAGAAGGUAAUAG